AGACUGGAACUUUGCCUUCAGCGUACCUGAUAGCGAGCAGGCAGACAGACGGUUUCUAGCCCCUUCUCUUAGGCUCAGAGAGUAACAGGCAAUAGAGGAUGUGUUGUUCCCAAAUUAAUCAAAGGCAUUAUAGAGAAUCCAGGAGUAGUAGUAACAGUCUUACUGUUUGAUAAGCAUUGAUGGGGUCAAAUUUUGACCUCACUGGAUAUUUGUACACAUCAUUUCUCCUUAGGUCCAUGAAAGCUUGAGGGCGGGGCAGCGAAUGGAUGGAUAGACAUUGUUAAGGACGUCCAAUUUAAAUCUUUAAUUUACUCACUUUGAGGACUCAAUAUAGGAUAAUAAAUCUAGAAGCAUAAACGUACUGGAAUAUGAUUCUACACUUGCCAAACAUGAGCAAAACCACUAGUUCAUCUCAUCGGUGAGCCAUUUCUGUGGCUUACUGACAUUACAGAGCUAAGCCGUCCCAGCCCGCAGCAUCAGCAGAUAUGUACUGAUUCCUGAGAACCAUCUGGAUGACUCUUCUUUGUUGGGAGCCGCGCCCACAUUCGCCGUUACAAGAUGGCGCUGACAGCUGUGUUCUAAGUGGUAAACAAAUAAUCUGCGCAUGUGCCGAGGGUGGUUCUCCACUCCAUGUGCUCUGCCUUCCCCGUGACGUCAACUCGGCCGAUGGGCUGCAGCCAAUCAGGGAGUGACACGUCCUAGGCGAAGGAUAAUUCUCCUUAAUAGGGACGGGGUUUCGUUUUCUCGCUCUCUUGCUUCUUGCACUCUGGCUCCUGAAGAUGUAAGCAAUAAAGUUUUGCCGCAGAA